CCUGUUAACUCACUCUGGCGUCCUUGUGAGUCAAGCGUAUGACAUCAGAACACAUUGCUCAUGUUUAUCUCGCAAAGAGUUGUCAAAUUAUCAAGACAGACUUUCCGUUGCGCCGUGUGAUGCUCCACUGACCAAGUUAGUGAUCUUCGGCCAGCUAUAUAACAUCAUCUGACUUGCGAAUACGAAGCACAUACGAACCUUGAGCGGGAACCGGGCCGAGGAAUCAUGGCUCGACUGCUUCAUCCGAGCGCCUUCCUGGCUUGCCUCCUUGCAUACUUGAUCGCCCCAGCAUCCAGUCAGCGGUUGAAUCUUCAGGACACGCUUCGUGGUUUGUUUUCGAAGCCUGGUGGUAACCCAGACAACGACGUGAUCGGUGGAAGAGCGAAAGUUCACGACGACCACCUGCCAGAUAUCGUGCCUCGUAACCAUAUGCCGUCGUCGUCGAGGGGUAUGCUGCCGGCUCAUCUGAGUGCAUACCCCAGGAGCAACACGUAUCCUCGUAACCUUCCCUUUGGAUAUUACAACUACGGGUACCCUCUCGGAAUGCCGGUUUAUUUGGAUGCUCCACAACUUGUUUACAGACGGGAACAAAACCACAGAGGUUUUCGGGAACAUCAUUAUUCGGACGCCAUGAACAGAGCUCCUCAUUCGACGAGCAUACCACCCAAAGGACGUUUAAGUGGAGAGGAUCGGGUUAUUGAAGCAUUGGAUUUGUUCAAGACGCUGAGGACCAUCGCAAGUGCUUAAAUAUACGGACCACGGGGUUUAAAUAAAUUUGUACGUAAUAAAUGCA